rnacentral:rRNA from 1 species
UACGAAGGGUGCAAACGUUGCUCGGAAUCAUUGGGCGUAAAGCGCACGUAGGCGGCCCAAAGUUGGAUGUGAAAUCCCUCGGCUCAACCGAGGACGUGCAUCCAAAACUGUGGGCUUGAGUACUGAAGAGGAUCGCGGAAUUCCCGGUGUAGAGGUGAAAUUCGUAGAUAUCGGGAGGAACACCAGUGGCGAAGGCGGCGAUCUGGGCAGAUACUGACGCUGAGGUGCGAAAGCGUGGGGAGCAACAGG